rnacentral:misc_RNA from 1 species
AAGUCGUAACAAGGUUUCCGUAGGUGAACCUGCGGAAGGAUCAUUAACACUUUUGCAUUUUGUUGGAAAAAUUUAAAUUUUUCUAAUAAUUUACUUUACCCACAUUUUUGGAUGAAUUAUUUCUUUAUUAACCCUUUUAUAAUUUUUAUACCCCAAAACAAAACUAAUACUAUUUAUUUCUAACAUUUAUUUAAGAAAAAACAUAAAAAACAACUCUUAACAACGGAUAUCUAGGCUCUC